rnacentral:piRNA from 1 species
UGUGUUAUCUGUUUUAUUCUCUGUGCACA